UUCAGUCUUCUUUGGGGCUCUUCAAGCCUCAAGUGUUCUUGAGGGCUCCUCAAGAAUUGAAUUGCUUGGAUGUUCCUGCCUUCCAGCUUUGAGGUUGCUUCACUUCAACACUUCAGGUUGCUAAAGGAAAAUGUGAGAGGAGCUGACAGUCUCCAUUAUGCCCCUGUCCCCAGAUUGCCAUGACAGAAACUUCAAGAAAUUGCCUCUUGGCCAGAUCCCCAUGACUUGGUAAUUUCUUUGUUGCCAUGCCUGAGGAUGAAUUCAGAUGGAAGUCACCCAUGAAGAGCCUUUUGACUCUCCUCACGCAUCUUGGCCAUUUCACAAGCUCUAGAGGUCCUGCUCUGGAUACUAGGAAAACAAAAACAAGGCAGAAAAACAUUCCAGCCAUCAAGGGACUUACAUUCAAUGGAGGAAACAUGAAAACAGCAGAAGUGUCUGGCAUGCGGAACAUAGAAGCUUGCUGAACUGAGUUGUUUGGGUCAUGAAAACACUCUGGGGCUUUGAGUCAACACUUCCUUUUUGGAAUGUGAGAACAUGAAGUGUGACCAUCUGAACUCAGGGGAGUAAGUGGAUCCAGAUUAAGUGAGAUUUUCUGUUUCAUUCCCCACCUGGAUUCCAUAAGGGAAAGGACUAAUUCUUUUCUUUCUUGUUCUUCUUCCAACUUUACUAGAUUUUCCUCUAUGGAAUCACGUGUGUCUUUGGGGAUCUGAAGGUUUCCCUUUGUCUGACCAUCCAGGUUUGUUCCACCCUUUUUGCAUUUCCCUUUUCUCCAGUUUCAUUUUUUUUUAAUCCAAGUCCAUUUUUUCUUAAAGUGCAAAGGGGAGUCCUUGGAAACAAUCCAUCAUCUUCAAACAUAAUGUCAACGUAAAAGGAAGACAAGGGCAUACCUUUAUCAAAGGGCCCAUGGUGGUACUUGAUUCCCCAUCCAUGAAAGCAGAAAGGAUAAGUGUACAAUGCCUGGGAAAACCUAGUGGCCAGGAGAUAACAUCUGCUGCCUGCCCGUUGUUAUAAGGAAAUGAGCAGGAGGGGAUGCUGCAAGGGAAGAAGCAGGAAGGUUCCAGAAUUCUGGAGAAGUGAUAGGACUGUUGCUUCUUCUAACAGUUAAGCAGGAGGUUGAGUUUCAUCUAGUCUCCUAGUGUGGUCCUAGUGAACUAGCUGUUCUCUCUCCUGUGGAUUUCCUUGUGAUCCAUCCUACCAGCUACCUGUUCCUGUGUAUCCUGUUGAUGCUGACAGAGAUAUUCCUGCAGAGCCAUCUGUCAGCGAGACCUUCCUUUUGAGCCCUGUUUCUGCUUUCCUUCCAACCUUACUACCUCUAUCACCACCUAAGGGGGGAUUAUGGGUUAGUGAAGUGUAUUUUAUUAUAGGAACUGGGAUUCUUAGGUAGAGACGUAACUCUAAAAAGGCAGAUACUAAAAAGACGUAACUAAAAAAAAGGGCAGAUACCAUCUCUCUGAAGCUACCAACUAGAUUUGGUGGGAGGUUUAUUUAUAUUCUUUAGAUAGAUCAUCCCAAUUCCCUUCCCUCCCUUGCCUUAUCUUAAAUCAAUCCUAUUUAAUAGCAUUUGGUAUCCUGUAAGCUUUAUCCUGUUGGCCUUACCAAACACUGUGUCCUUCUGAUAUUGGUCCUAAACAAUCAUUCCUUGACCCACUAAAAUCCCAUUACCACAGGUAUCUUUCUAGAAACAAUUAUUUUAGUUAUAUACUAUUAUUUCACUGUCAGGCCAAAUUUUCCCACAUCAUCUCCAUACUAAGUGGUCAUUAAAUCCCAACCAUAGUUAAGUAUGAAACUGAAAUUUAUUACCUGGUUAAUAUUUGUUCCUCUGCCUUAUGACUUCUCACUCUAGCAGGAACUUAGAUAGAACUUAGAUAGGAACUUAGACUCUCUCCAAAACACACCUACAUAUGCACAUUUUCACAUACUAACAACACACAGUCAUUCACACUUAAAAAGUGGCAGUAGAGGUGUGUGCGUAAACAAACUAGUUAGCGAACAAUGGCAUAAGAGCUGGAGAAAACACCCUCGAGUGGAUCCUGGCACUUCCAUAAAUGAUGGAGUGUGUCUUAGAAUGAAAGAUGGGAAAUUCUGAGUGAGGCUAUACCUGCCCCAAAACAAGAGCUAGGGACCACCCAAUCUAUUUCAAUCAGAUUGUAAGGGUGGGGUCAAAAUCAUCCUCAUUUCGUUCUUGUGCUUAGCAAGGCACAAACACUUUUUGAUUUGAUCAAAUAUUUAGAACUAAGUAUGAACAAAGUCUAUAAAACUCCUCAGAUAAAUCAAAGUCAUUGGGUAAGAGACUGAGUAACCCUCUGAGCACUUUGUACAAAUGGUAGGAGUUAUUUCAGAAUCUGGAGGAAAAGAGAUGCUGAGUAUGUGGAUUCGAGAGGUUAGAGCAAGUGUGGGAGAACUGAGUCAUGGAAGAGAGAGCAGAUAUCAAGAGGAGUCAUUGACUCCAUAAGACAUCUCUAAGAGGGGGGCCCAGGUUGAGCGAAGUUACAAGACAAGGUCUACUCUUUCCCCAACUUCCCCCAACCAUGCCUAUCUAUCCACAGUCACUAUAAUAUCAUCCGCUGUUUUGCUACCCAACUGUUUCCAAUAAGAUGAAUUUUGUCUACUCCACAAGUAUGUCAGGAGUUAGCUAGAGAUAGAUAUGAACAUAAGGCUAGGCAAAGGUGUUAGGAAUUUUCUUAUCUGGUGGUUCAAAGCUAUUGUGACUGAAAUCAGAAUUUUUUCAUCUAAAAUAAACUCACUACUGGAAUGACCUCCAGGAAUUGAUGCAGACUGAAAGGAGCAGAACCAGAACAUCGUACACAGAGACUGAUACACUGUGGCACAAUCGAAUGUAAUGGACUUCUCCAUUAGUGGCAAUGCAGUGAUCCUGAACAAUCUGCAGGGACUUAUGAGAAAGAUGCUAUCCACAUUCAGAGGAACUGUGGGAGCAGAAACACAGGAGAAAAGCAUAUGAUUGAUCACCUGGUUCAAUGAGGAUAUGAUUGGGGAUGUAGACUCUAAAUGAUCACUCUAUUGCAAAUAUUAAUAAUAUGGAAACAUUAUUAAUUGCAUUAAUUAAAUACAUGUAAAACCCAGUAGAAUUGCUUGUUAGCUCUGGGAGGGGAGAAGGAAGAUGGGAGGGAAAAAAACAUGAAUCAUGUAACCAUGAAAAAUAUUCUAAUUUAAUUAAUAAAAUAAAUUUAAAAUAAACUCACUAAAACUACAGAGGAAGGAAACAAGUGGACUUUAGGGAAUGUCAUCACAUUGUCCUCCCUCCCAUGCUUAAAGCAUUAAGAUUAAAUUGAAAAGCUAAUUAUUGCCAAAGAGUAUUAUAGAAUCCAAAGGGAUUUUUGAAUUGGUGGGGAAUGUGCUAGAGUUAGAAAGAUGUACACUUCAAUUUUGUUCCUGCCUUUAACACUUCUAGCUGUGUGCAAAUCAUUUAACCCUUCUGAGACUCAGAUUCCUCAUUUAUAAGAUGGUGAUAAUAGCACCUACUUUCAAGGUUUGUUGUCAAGAUCAAAAGAGAUGAUGUGUGGAAAGCAUUUUGUAUACCUAAAACCAAUUGAUAAAUAUUGGUGAUUAGGAAGCACCUGCUUUCCGCAAGAGUGAUAGAUAACAAGUGGACAGCAUGAGUAGCUUUCAGGUAGUGGGAAAAGACAAAAGCCCCCAGAACACCGUACACCUACCUGGAGUAAGUUUAAAACAGUAUAUGAAUGAGAGCAGUGCAAGAUGAGUAGACAUGGGGGAGAGGGUGCAAGAGUUUAUUGUCUUCCCUCUUCUCCCCCACCCAAAAAAGUCCCCCUUAGUUCCAAACGUCUCUGUUAUUGUCAGGGGUACCAUUAUCCUGUUGGCUACCCAGUCACAGCUUAGGCAUCACCCUCACCUCCCAUAUAUCCCUCACCUUCUCCUACAUCCAAUUUGUUGCCAAGCCCUGUCGAUGAAAUUUAGUCAUUCACACAUAUGCAAACAUCAUUUUCUUCUUUCCCUGGAAAUAUGUUGUCAGUGAAUCUUCCUGAAAAUCUGCUUAAAGAGAUUUAUGCAGCAAAUAAAAAAUGAGAAGCCAGAUCGAUUUAUUGCUUAAAUAUCAACAAGACCACUGAAUCAUCCUCACUUUGCUAUCAGGCAGGGGAUAGAAGUGGUAAAUGUCUAACAACCAAAUCUCUGAAGGUUAGAGGAGGGAAGUGUGCCAUGCCACACUUUAAGUUCAAUCUGUAUUAUUGACAUUUUUCUCCAUUUGUUUCUUUCUUAAGUUUAGACAACCAAUGAAGUGCUAACUCAAGCCCAAAUUUGUGGUGUUUCCCAAUUUCCAAGAUGUAAAUGCUCACAUUGAACAUUUAAUAUUUGCUGAGCAAGUUUAAGCUGGCUUUGGGACACCCCUGCAUCAGAUUUUAUCAAAACAACAUACUAGCAAAUUUCUGUUCUUAGGAACCUCAAAUGCCUGCCCUAAGUUCCUUCUCACUUUGGAUCCCUUGGGAGAAAGUCUCCACUCUUUGACAUGUUACUGAAUUUAGUGACGAAGAUCUCCACCAGAAUAACCUACCUGUUGUGUUUCAUGAUCAAUCCAAGAAUCAGUCAAUCCACAAACAUUUAUUAAAUGACUACUAGUAAGUGCCAGGCACUGUAUUAGUGACAGUAAUCAAUAAUUCUCUAUUUAUAGGGAAGCUCCAGGCAGGAAAACUACCCAAUAAAGAUGUGUCACAAUUGUAAAAUAA